UGGGGAAUUUUGGACAAUGGGGGAAACCCUGAUCCAGCCAUCCCGCGUGUGCGAUGAAGGCCUUCGGGUUGUAAAGCACUUUUGGCAGGAAAGAAACGUCAUGGGUUAAUACCCCGUGAAACUGACGGUACCUUCAGAAUAAGCACCGGCUAACUACGUGCCAGCAGCCGCGGUAAUACGUAGGGUGCAAGCGUUAAUCGGAAUUACUGGGCGUAAAGCGUGCGCAGGCGGUUCGGAAAGAAAGAUGUGAAAUCCCAGGGCUCAACUUUGGAACUGCAUUUUUAACUACCGGGCUAGAGUGUGUCAGAGGGAGGUGGAAUUCCGCGUGUAGCAGUGAAAUGCGUAGAUAUGCGGAGGAACACCGAUGGCGAAGGCAGCCUCCUGGGAUAACACUGACGCUGAUGCACGAAAGCGUGGGGAGCAAACAGG
rnacentral:rRNA from 1 species